rnacentral:rRNA from 1 species
UUCCAGCCGCCGCGGUAAUACGGAGGGGGUUAGCGUUGUUCGGAAUUACUGGGCGUAAAGCGCACGUAGGCGGACUUUUAAGUUAGAGGUGAAAUCCCGGAGCUCAACUCCGGAACUGCCUUUAAUACUGGAAGUCUUGAGUUCGAGAGAGGUGAGUGGAAUUCCGAGUGUAGAGGUGAAAUUCGUAGAUACUCGGAGGAACACCAGUGGCGAAGGCGGCUCACUGGCUCGAUACUGACGCUGAGGUGCGAAAGCGUGGGGAGCAAACAGGAUUAGAUA